AGCAAUUAUAAUAUUUUAAUACUCUAAUAUUGUAAAUAUAAAUAUAAAUAAUUAUAAAAGCUCAAUAUAAAAUAAUGAAUAGGUUAACUCAAGGGGUAGGUCCCAGAGUGGCCAUAGGUCAUAGAGCAAGUCGGGCAAAGGGAAGCAAGCGUGAAAACAAAGAGUUUACCUCGAACAUUUAUAACCAUACACAUACAACACAAGCAGUGACCGAGCCUCCAACUGUGCAUAUAUCGGAGGCCAUCUCUGCCACCUAAGAACCGUUGUUGGAGACUGUGAAGCUGCAUCGAUGAGAUUCACGUGUCCAGGUGCAGGCGAGGAUGCAGCAAUAGGACGAACCUGAUUGUACAUCAAGAUUAGUUGUUGUCGAACAUUCGAGAUAACGGGAGAUAACGGGAAAUAUAGAUUAAGAGAUAUGCUGAAAAUCGAUGUUAUUUACUAAAUGAAGAAAUGAGCAUAUAUAUGUAAACUGCUGGAAUAAAAAAAUAAAUGAAAACAGCAAAUUAAGCAAC
rnacentral:lncRNA from 1 species